AUUAAUAUCUAGAAAUCGCAAUUAAUUGUUGUAUAGACACCUUUCAGUAACGUUUACCUUAAUUUGCCUUAAGUUGAUUCAUCCUUCAUUAAAACACUGUCAUUCACACUAUACACUAGAUUCAAAUAAAAGAUCCAUAUAAAAGUAGAGAUGUUUGAUCACAAAAACAUCCAAAAAAUCACGUUAAAUCGUUUUCUGAAGUCUUUAAAACACAUUAAAACAAAAUGUCGCCAAAAACCGCAACGACAUCAAAAUAAUCGGCUGUUGAUAAAUCAAAGAAUUAAAAAGAGAAGUGUGCGCACGUCGAUUAUUUUUAAGUGAACCUUCUUUACUUUUAGCAAAAUGUGUGACAGAUUCCUUUAUAUUUACAGAUUUCUUUGCAACUGACGCGACCUCUAAGCUGGAGCACACGAACUAUUUUAGCCGUUUCCCCCCUUUGCCCCACCCCUCCCAGUGAACACAUAAUUUGUAUACACUUUCAGGGGCCUGAAACGACUUAUGGCAUUGUCGUAUCUCCCCUCUAAUAUCUUUGAGUAAAUUGCCAAUACAAAUUAUGUGUUCAAUGGAAGGGGUGGGGAAAGGGGGGAAACGGCUAAAAUAGUUCGUGCACUCAGGCUUAGAGGUCGCGCCAGUUGCAAAGUAAUCUGUAAAUUUAAAGGAAUCUAUCAGACAUUUUGCUAAAAGUAGAGGAGGUUCACUUAAAAAUAAUCGACGUGCGCACACUUCUCUUUUUAAUGUUUUGAUUUAUAAACAGUCGAAUAUUUUGCUGUCGUUGCGGUUUUUGGCGACAUUUUGUUUUAAUGUGUUUUUAAGACUUCAGAAAACGAUUUAACGUGAUUUUUUGGGUGUUUUUGUGAUCAAACAUCUCUACUUUUAUAUGGAUCUUUUAUUUGAAUCUAGUGUAUAGUGUGAAUUGACAGUGUUUCAUUUAAUGAAGGAUGAAUCAACUUAAGGCAACUUAAGAUAUCAGAAAUUCAUCUAGAAUCACACAAACCUCUCUAAUAAGGGAAUUUCCGGAUGUUUUGGAGAUGAAGACCGUCCUUGGAGAUGAUAACGGUUCUUGGGAUGUAAUUGAAAAUCUCAUGAAGAGGAGUUAAAUUUGCAAAGCCAGUAUUUUGAGAAAGCAAGGAGUUUAGGACUUGCUAUGGUUCAAGGUUUUCAAAUUCGCCAUGUCCCUCUGUCUAUAUUUUUGAUGCUAUUUUACACAAUUUUAUAACGCCUAUGCUUGUUAAAAAGCAAGGUUUUUCUUUUUUUUUGUGAUUGCUAAAUUUAGAAACUAUGCGAAAAAAUGUAUUCUACAAGUUUCAUAGAAGGGUCAUAAAUAUCGAGUUGAACUGUUUGUUUUUCCAUUUUUGUUCACGAAAUGCAGGUAUUUCCGAAAGCGAAAACAAACACGACAAUGAGAACCAAUUUUGAUAGUUUUGUCUGUAGUUUAGUUAUUUACAUGAGAUUGACAUUUGCCAUUUUGACGCUUCUACGCAUGUUCGGUAAUAUUCACUCUAGUCUGGACUGCGGCGAUUUGGGUCUUCCUAGAGCGACGCUCUGAUAAGUCUUUUGCUCUAAAGUGUUGUUCUCGAACGUAGCCCAGGUGUACAUAGCAUUCGGUGACACGGCCGUGUCACAUGUGACAUGGCUAAAACACGACACGACCCCAUCUAUAUUAUAGGUUGUGGAAUUAGUCCUCUUUCAGUUCUUCUUGGCCUUGGCUUGACCAUUUUUAUAUUUAUUGCUACAGAUAAAUAAAAACAAGUGUUCACUCUUUCAUAACUUAAGGUAGGUGUUGAUUGUAACAUGUUACAACUGACACCAGUCUCUAUGUUGCAACUGACACCUAGAUGACUUUUAUGGUGCUGUUCUAGUGUAUACCGGUAUGUUUAUAACCUCAAAAAAAUUAACCAACCCAGUAGAUAGCAGAAUUAAUGUAUAUUAACAUGCUUUCAUCAGAUUUUGAUACAAUUUAUUAAUAUGCAUUGUAUCCCAAAAAGAGUACAGUCCGAGACAUUUCUAUUUGUUCAUAAAAAAUUUGAAUUGGCUGACAUUUAUACGUGUAUACAGCGUCUAUGUGAACAAAAAACGUUCUCUCUCUCUCAUUCUAUGGUCCUUGAGCUUGAAGUUGGUAGCGAUAAUAGUUAAAAUAAAUUUGGGCAGAUGGCACUACGGUAGGCAAAAGACUGUCAGUUCCGUUAAAUAAAAGUAAAAAAGCUGAAAUUUAUAAGAAAAUAGCAUGGAAAUUGUUAAUUUAUUGAAUACGUUGUUGACAUAAAGUUUGUCUUUGCCUAUCGUCCUAGAUAGGUAGGUAGGCAUCCUCGAUUGUUUCCAGAUGUGCCGAAGUAAAUUAAUAAAUUUGUGAUAAUAUAAACCUGAUUACCUGAACUAUUCUAUGUUUCAAGUAUAAUUCCACCUACCUUAUUUCUACACUACAAACCAAUUAGUCACAGAACGUGGAAAAAUUGCCCUCAUUUAUCCCUGAGUUUUAUAGGCUUGUUUUUUAGUGUGUGUCAUUCCCGCUUCCUGAACAACAUUUUACUGCAUCAAUUUUUUUUUAUUAAGACAACAAAAUCUUCGACUGUAUGUGGAAUUUGCUCUGUUAAUCGAUAAUUUCCAUUUACAAAAAUUUUUAGCGAUGAACUCGAUGAAGCUUCUACUAGGACUAAAAGUCAAACAGUCUUUAUGAAAAUGAACACCCCAGUUUAAUGGCAACAAAUGCUUUAGAUUAAUAAAAUUUAAAAACUUUUUUUUCAAAAAGAUUAAAUAGAGAGGGUUCGGCGGAUACAGAUGCACGUAGGUCUCUUAUUGUUUGAUCGGGAAAAUUUAGUACGGAAUCAUAACUGGUGGAUGGCACAUUGGAAACAAGUAAUUCAGGACAAGGCUGCCGCCUUCAAUUUUUUGGUACUUUUUGGUUGGGA